AGAAAUUUAGGUUAGCCUAAACCAGGAGCCUUCAAAGCCCCAAAAAGGGGAUAAACCCCUAAUUUCUG
rnacentral:tRNA from 1 species